GCUGCCUCUGACCUCCAGAAAAAAAAAAAAAAAAGGAAGGGGGAAAAAAAAAAAAAAAAACUAGCAUGGGCUUCAGAGUCGGAAAGAUUGCACGAGAUUCUGCAAGGCGCGGGGCAGAAGAGAGAGCUGCUGCUCCAGGGCCCGUCCCGCCCCGGUGGAGUCUCCUCGGGAGGCACGGAGAGAUUCAUUAGAAUCGGCAACCUGCAGCUGUCAGGCUUUCACGUGAAGAGCCAGAGCAGCGGACCGCACCCCCUAAGCAUCGGGACCACAGUACCUCGCGGGCGAGCGGAGGAACCCGCAGCCCCCGCGGCCGCCUUCCCUUUAAACACCUGCGCGCGCACCCGCGGAAGGAACUGCCCGGGGUUCACGCGCGCCGCCCCGGCCCCAGAUCCCUCCGCCGACCCCGGCGCCCGUCUGCCGGCCGGACUUCCUCCUCUCGCUCCCGCCCGCCGGCUCCAGGGCUCCGGGUCCGCCCUCCUCCGACCACUAGUCCGGGAAAGCCGGGACGUCCGGCGCUGGCAGGGGCCGACCCGCGGAGCCGCAUCGCGACGACUCUCCCGGCGGCGGCCCGCCCCCGAGGCCGACACGCACUUCCGGCAGCGCAGCGGAAGGAGCGGAGCCCGGCGGGGGCGGGGCGCCGGCGGUCCCGAGGCUGGACCUCCCGACGCAGACUCAGGCCGCGCACGCGCGGGGGCGCCUGGGAGCCCGCGGACCAGGUGCGGCGGCGGCGGCGGCGGCGGUGGCUGUGGGACCGGGUCGCGCUGCGGGUCCAGGUGCGUCCGCUGGCCUGCCCGGAGGCUCCUCCCGAAUCGUUUGAUUGUGACUCCGCCCGACUUCUUCCAGGCCAGGUUCUCCAGCGACACCCUCACGGUGACGUUCGGAUCGCACCGAGGGGGAGCGCCGAAGCGGGUGGGAGACGGGCCGGCUGGGGCCCCUCGUGUGGGCGCGGCCGGCUGGAGCCGCGGCUCUUGCCUUCGACCCAUGAAGCCCUGCAGUUCCCCGCUCCAGGCCCUGACGCUUGAUGGGAAGCUCGGCCGCCGCCUGUUCUCGCCGACCCCCCUGCCUUUGUUCCCUGCCCGGCAGCCCGGCCACUGGCAGGCGACCUGUGUUACCUGA
rnacentral:lncRNA from 12 species